GAACGGAAAAGGUGCUUUUUGUCCUAAAGAUUGUGACAUUAUUGCAGCAGAGUUUAAAUCUUAAACACUGAAAAAGAACAAAAGAAAACAAAAAAGAAACAAAAAAGUAUUUGCCCCCUUUAUAUUUUUAUUUUUUAUUUCCCCCCACUUUCGUUUAUAUUGUUACUGUCAAUCAUUUUAUUUAAAAACAAUGUUUUCGUUUUUUGUCACGUUUUAAUGCUUAUCAAAGCAUUGAAUGGACAAAUAUCACUUGAGUUGCGACAAAAUGGUUGGAAUAACAACCGAUGGUGCACCUGCCAUGAUUGGGAAGAAAGCUGGCCUCACUGCUCUCGUUUCCCAAAAGGUUUCGGAGUGUGGGGGAAAGGUAGCGCAAUACCACUGUAUCCUGGAACAGCUGUGUGCAAAGACAAUCGGACUGGCAGACGUUGUCGCGAUUUCGUCAAAAUAAUUAACGGCAUCCGCUUAAAGGCACUCUCACACCGCCAGUUCAGAACCUUUUUGGAUGAAGUUGAUGCGCAAUAAAAAGAAAUUCUUUACCAUCAUCAACUUAUCGCGGAGUUUCUUUCGAGUGCGAGCAGGGACACACAAAUCCUCUCCGAUAAAAGAUGGAUUUUUGACGUGGCCUUUAUGAUGGACAUCACGUGACCGACCUGCUCAACAAUCUGAAUGUUAAACUUCAAGGCAAAGAACAGAUCAUAACGGCGCUGUUUGACCACAUCAAGGCUUUCCAAACGAAGCUGCAACUACUCUGCCGGCAUCUUUCAGCAGGAAACUUUGCACACUUCCCCAGCCUGACAGAAGUGAAUGUGGAGGUGGACAGGUUGCCAGAAUAUGGAGAACUUCUCAGCAACUUAAACAAGGAGUUUGAUUUGCGCUUUGUGGACUUUAAGAAGAUGACAUGGACAUUUUUCUCAGCCCUUCAGCGUGAGCCCCGACUCAGUUCCAGAGCAUUAGCAGAUGGAGUUGAUUGAGUUUCAAUGUGACACAGAGCUAAAAAGAAAAAUUGUAUCACUACCCCUGAGGGAUUUUUAUCCACAUGUGUCAGUACAAAGAUACCCACAGAUGAGAAAAAAUGCACAAGUAAUGCUAUCUCUGUUUGGCAGCACCUCCAUUUGUGAGCAAACAUUUAGUCUCAUGAACCUGAACAAGAUCAAACUCAGGGGGACCCUCACAGACUCACACUUGCAAGACAUACUAACACUAUCAGUGAGUAAGCUGCAGCCCAACAUUCAGUCACUGAUGAAGUCAAAAGACCAGCUCCAUGUCUCUGAUUAAGGAUCGCAGUUUGCUGUUUUCAUUGGAAAAAAGUUUGUUUUGUUUUUUAG